rnacentral:rRNA from 1 species
AACGAACGCUGGCGGCAUGCCUAACACAUGCAAGUCGAACGAGAUCUUCGGGUCUAGUGGCGCACGGGUGCGUAACGCGUGGGGAUCUGCCCUUUGGUUCAGAAUAACAGUUGGAAACGACUGCUAAUACCGGAUGAUGACGAAAGUCCAAAGAUUUAUCGCCAGAGGAUGAGCCCGCGUAGGAUUAGCUAGUUGGUGUGGUAAAGGCGCACCAAGGCGACGAUCCUUAGCUGGUCUGAGAGGAUGAUCAGCCACACUGGGACUGAGACACGGCCCAGACUCCUACGGGAGGCAGCAGUGGGGAAUAUUGGACAAUGGGCGAAAGCCUGAUCCAGCAAUGCCGCGUGAGUGAUGAAGGCCUUAGGGUUGUAAAGCUCUUUUACCCGGGAUGAUAAUGACAGUACCGGGAGAAUAAGCUCCGGCUAACUCCGUGCCAGCCGCCGCAGUAA